rnacentral:lncRNA from 1 species
GCCACUUCCAGCGGGCCGUGGGCCUCGACGGGGGCUGCAGGGACAAACAUUCUCGAGAAGUAUUGUGGCCCGGUAGUGACAGAUUUCGCUCCACUUUUCACAGCCGGUGGUUUUUGUUAUUAGAGAUGCAACUCUAUUUUUUAAACUGUCAUUGAUGCCAGAGAUAGGCGACUAGACUCCUUUACUGGAUCGCCCGCAAUGGAAGAAGCAGCUCCACGCUGGAUGUGGUGGAAGAGUCUGGACAGAAUUGACUGGAAGCCUGGAAUCACCAGAAAAUAACUCAAGGCACAGCUCAGUUGUGACUAGCAAAAGUUUGAGGCUUGGUGGCUCAGCAUCCUGUGCACCAUAACCGUUACCUCCUAUGAGGAAGGGGAGGUACUACUUUCCCACUCAGAGCCAAUUCCCUGGAGGGGAAGACCAACUUCCAACCUACCACCCCCAACCUCAGAGGGUAAGACUCGCUGUGGGGAACUGAAGAGUGGUCUCCCUAAUUCCGGAUGAGAGGCCUGUUGCGAAUGGUGAAUGAUCUAGAUCUCCACUUAUAAAUAUGAGCAGAUAAAAAAUAUCACUACAUAAAGAGAGAAUCCACCAUUUGAAAGAAGAGGACCAAAUUAGAGCAGAUAUCACUUAAUAAAAUGGAGUUAAUGAAGGAAAUAGGAGAAAACUUUUUAAAAACUUCUUGUUCAUGUUCUAAGUGAAAUUUAAAGAGUGAUAAGGGCAAGUUGCCGUGAAAAUGGAGGCAUCUGAGAACCAGAAUGUCCUUGGAAAUUAGAAGAUACAUGAAUACUAUUAACUGAAAAGACAGUUAAUAGAAAAAUAGAUACUGCUAAAAACUGAAUUAAUGAAUUAUAAGACCAUCUCAAAGAGUGCUUCCAGAGCAAAAAGAUAAAUAAAUAGCAAC